ACACGAGUGGCGAACGGGUGAGUAACACGUGGGUGAUCUGCCCUGCACUUCGGGAUAAGCCCGGGAAACUGGGUCUAAUACCGGAUAUGACUGCAGCAUGCAUGUGCUGUGGUGGAAAGAUUUAUCGGUGCAGGAUGGGCCCGCGGCCUAUCAGCUUGUUGGUGGGGUAAUGGCCUACCAAGGCGACGACGGGUAGCCGGCCUGAGAGGGCGACCGGCCACACUGGGACUGAGACACGGCCCAGACUCCUACGGGAGGCAGCAGUGGGGAAUAUUGCACAAUGGGCGCAAGCCUGAUGCAGCGACGCCGCGUGAGGGAUGACGGCCUUCGGGUUGUAAACCUCUUUCAGCAGGGACGAAGCGUGAGUGACGGUACCUGCAGAAGAAGCACCGGCCAACUACGUGCCAGCAGCCGCGGUAAUACGUAGGGUGCAAGCGUUGUCCGGAAUUACUGGGCGUAAAGAGCUCGUAGGCGGUUUGUCGCGUCGUCUGUGAAAACCAGCAGCUCAACUGCUGGCGUGCAGGCGAUACGGGCAGACUUGAGUAUUUCAGGGGAGA
rnacentral:rRNA from 1 species